rnacentral:rRNA from 1 species
UACGUAGGUGGCAAGCGUUGUCCGGAUUUAUUGGGUUUAAAGGGUGCGUAGGCGGCCCUGUAAGUCAGUGCUGAAAUACCCCGGCUUAACCGGGGGGGUGGCAUUGAUACUGCAGGGCUUGAGUACAGAUGAGGUAGGCGGAAUUGACGGUGUAGCGGUGAAAUGCAUAGAUAUCGUCAAGAACACCGAUAGCGAAGGCAGCUUACUGGGCUGUAACUGACGCUGAUGCACGAAAGUGUGGGGAGCAAACAGG